UACAGAUUGCGGAUACUUUGUUUUGAGGUUUUUGAAAGAAAUCCUUCAAACGAAUCAAUUAGAGAUUCCAAUCAUGUACUUUGAUGACUUCUAUGCUGCUUCUUACACGAAACUUAAGUUGGAAGAAAUCAAAGAGGAAUUGUGUCAAUUUUAUAUUCAGCGACUAUUCAUAUAGGACCAGGACCGUGCGCUCGUCGGAUUUUGAGAAUUUCGGGCUUAUAUUCUGUUGAUGAUUUAGUUAUAUGUAUCUAUUGUAAACAUGUGAAUUGAACUAUAUUAAUGGUGUAUAUAUUUUAUUUUGG